rnacentral:misc_RNA from 1 species
AAAAAAAAAAAACUUGGAUAGUUUUGAUUUAGAAUUGAUUAGAAACAAGAUAAAUGAGUUUUACACUGUACGAAAAGAAAUACCCACUGUUAUGAAAUUGCUACAAAUUCUUCGGGAGGAAAUCAAUUUCAAUGGAGGAAGAGAAUCAUUAAGACUUAUUUUGAAAGACAUUGGAUUCGAAUUCGUGAAGUGCCAAUCAAAAAGGACUAUUUUAAUGGAGCGACAUGACAUAAAGAUACACAGAUUCAAGUAUUUGGAGCGUAUGCAAAAGAAUCGAGAAGCCG